UACAGAGGGUGCAAGCGUUGUUCGGAAUUAUUGGGCGUAAAGGGAGUGUAGGCGGUUUGCUAAGUCUUCUGUGAAAUCUACGGGCUCAGCCUGUAACGUGCAGAGGGAACUGACAGACUUGAGUGUCGGAGAGGAUAGUGGAAUUCCCGGUGUAGAGGUGAAAUUCGUAGAGAUCGGGAGGAACACCAGUGGCGAAGGCGACUAUCUGGCUGACAACUGACGCUGAGACUCGAAAGCAUGGGGAGCAAACAGG
rnacentral:rRNA from 1 species